UCUGGGGUGAUCCCGAAUCUGAAGGAAGUCGGCGGCAAAUCUCCGCCUUUAGGAACACGAACUUCAUACGAGGCUAGAUGUAUUUGAGUGAGACUGCUAAACAAGUUAAAGCCCGUACUGCCAAAGAAUACAUCAAGUAAAUGAAGGAAGGACAAGGAGAGGAAGAAUAUGCG
rnacentral:ncRNA from 1 species